GAGAGUGUUUACAAUUCCUAUAGAAGUUCGAAAAAAACAGCUGAGAACCAUGCUUCUUGCUGACAUGCUUUCCUGCUCAACGAAGAUCAACAUACACAGCCAUAAGCACUAGUAAAGGACCCCUUUCCAGAUAUGUGCAAAACACAUAAGGAACUUGUUUUGAAAACAAGGUACAUUUCUAUUUCCCCUCAGCAAAUAAACCCUUUGCAUUACAUUUAUCUGCCCUUGCUGUGUGUUGCCAUCUGAGAAGUUUUAUCAAAGCAUGAACAGAACACACACAGAGCGCACUUGUUCCUGCAAGACUCAUCCCCAGAAACUCUCCUUUGCAAGCUGGAGCCAAAGCAUGUCGAUACCAUCACUCCUCCAGACACAGACACUUCAGACCAUCUACGUGAAUUACUGAACCCUUCGUCCUAUCCAGCCUCUGUUCCUUUAGAGAAAAUCCAGGCAUUAUCACCCACUUCAGCCCUCUGCCACGGACUCCUAAGGAACUGCACCAGGAUCUGCAGUGGUUGCAGGGAGUUUCUCCUCUGUCUGCCACGGCUACGGCUCCCUUCGAAAGCAAACAGCUUCGUGUGUGACUUUGCAAUCUGAGAAUGUGAACUAGUCGGCAGGACAGCGGGCUUGAAAAGAGCCAUGCUUGCUCCUGGAGAAAGGCCAAGCCUGGAAAAUCUAAGUCUGAAAGGAGGAAGUUUUGGGAAUUUAUGAACGUGCCUGGUGUCUAUCAUGACAAAAAAUGAAAAAGUCGAAAAUCGAUCUAAACUAUAAAAGAUAAAGUGCAGAGAAGCAAGAGGGGACCACACUGGCCACACACCACCUGACCCACUGCCAGCCCUGCAUCUCCUGAGCCGCUGGUGGAGUCUCAAUGCUGUCCUGACUGUACCUAUGGGACCAGCAGGCCAAAUUCAGGAUCCAUGGGAUGCUGUGCCAUGUGCACAUGACUCCAGAGCGCGGACAGUCCUGAACCUCUGCACAGUGAUCAGCAGAAGCCUGCCCUGAGGAAAGAAAACAGGCUCAGACUAAAAGCCAAGCACCCAGAAAAUUUCAAUAAUUGGGAUUUGAUUUCAUUUUUGUUUUCUGACACAUUCUUUUCUAAUUUCAACUUGAUGGACAGGGAGUGUAAUAAUGCAAUCACAAGAGAAGCUGAUGUACUGACAAGAUGUCAUGUGGGUCUACCCAGUGAAGGAAAAGCAAGUGAAGAAAGACAAGAUACAGCUGACAGCUAAGAGUCCUCUAGGAAACAGAAAAUACAGAAUAGCAGCCCCCCAAAAUAACUAAGUACACCAUCAUUUUCCAUUAAUCUGUAUUGUUUUUUUUAAUUUUAUUAACAAGAUUUUCACAAUUGAAUCCGAGCUUUGUAGUCAAGAAAGGAAACAUCUCCAUCACCUCCACUGAUGUCACCCCAGAGAGAAGAUUAGAAGAUUAACUCUGUCAGGUGAUGCCAAUCCAAUGGCAAGGAAAAUACUUUUGCACAUUCAAAGAGAAAAUAAGGGAGAAAUUCCAGCUAUCUCCAAGAAAUGUAAACCUUGCCAGUGAUAAUUACUGGCUCUCAGAGAAAACAUUUUAUGCAAAUGCGCAGAUAUACAGUAAAUAAAAUAAGAAGAUCAAAGACUUGGAAGAGGAUUUAUCUUAAAGAAGAAAUGAGGGGAUAGUCUGAAUCUCAGUGGCAUUUCAGUCUCAUCUAAUUUAUAAGCAGCUGCAUUCUCUGGGGACAAGUUAUGAAAGGCCAUUGAAAUUAUGUCAGGAAAUAGAAAAACUACGUCUGAAAUACAAAAUUGGUUUCUGAGCUGUCACAGUUGUUACUGGCAAUGUCUCCUGACACACUAGGUACCGAGUGUGAGUCUGCCCUAGUGAGCAUUUGAAAUGCAUUUACACAAAAAUGGAAAGAAGGUGAGCAUGACAGACAGAGUUCAGCUUUCGGCAUCUGCCGAUAAACACAAGUGGCUCUUUGCUGGCAGGCUCUGCAGGAGUCACCCAGCACAGGAGGACAGAGGCUGAAGCUAUUUUCCCAUCAAUACAAUGCAGAUUUUCAUGCACAGCUGCAAUUAGUGUUAAUGGGAAUUCCCUCUGCAAAUGUUCGGUGUUACUGAGUAGUCUCUUAGUCAAUAUAAAAAAGCCAAGAAAAAUUAUAUGAUUCAAUCUGAUCUUACUGCUUCUGGUUUUGAGGGCAUUAUUGUUGUUUAUUUCAGAGGAAUUAAGAUUGAGUCUUGCGCAGCUGAGUGUAGGUGUGUUUGCUCUGCACAGAUCUGGUGGAAAAAAGCGUCAAAUCCUGAAUAUAAAUAUUGUGGCAUCAAGUGGUGAGUUCGAGGAGAAGGUGAGAGUCUCUCAAACCUGAUUUGGCAGCUGCAAAAACAAUACUUGGGCAAACAGAUGGUCUCUGUGAUGAGGGAAGACUUUAAAAGAUUCGCAAAUUAAUGAGCUCUGCCAGGUUGUUUUUUAGUGUUUCCUACCAAAAUUCCUAUAAAUCAGCCUAACUGGGCAGGGAGGUGGAGACAAGAGGAAUUAGUAACUUCUCUAGACAGUUUGUAUAUCCAAGGUUAGCAGACAAAGGCUUCAGAGCUGGAAAAUCCCAAGAGGAAUUACGGAGGUGCUGUGUUGUCCUCUCGGAAGGCAAAAGCCACAGCGUUUGUCAUGUACUAUCAGUACUCUGGGGACUAAUUGCAGCCAUCCGUGAUCAAGGAUAUCGGUUCAGUGGUAAAGGAAGGUGAAGUGUCAGACACUCUGAAUUAUUGGCUCCCCCUGAGAACACUGAUAUGUGUUUUUAGGGAGUGAAAGCCUCCUCCUUCAUCUGCAGGUCAGAGAGAGACCACACCUUCACCUACCUUCAGUCUUUGUUAAAACCAGGCCCAAAUAGCACAUUACCAAUGCAGAAUAUUUACAACAGCCAAACACAGUCCUGUCUUCAAAUAAAUGACAUCUCAUUUCCGUUCUCAUCCCCAAGACUUUCUCAUUACUCAGUGCUUUGUCAAGCACAGCCAGCUGCUUUCAUCAAGCUGAAGAUAAUAUCAUUAAACUGUCACUGGCCAAGGUUAGCCACAACAGGUAAACAAAAGGUUGACAUUUCAUCACAAACUUGGAACGGGAGCAAGCUGUGAUUUCAGGAACAACCAGGAGCAGAAAGAGCACCAGAGAGGUCCUAUAAUCUUCCAGUUCAUGUCUACCAAAGCGACUUCUGUCUCCGUAGCAUUGAGUGAAGGUCUGCUGUGCUAGGAGGCAGAAUUAAUUAAGGAAUUACUAAUUGAAUCAGACUUGAAAAGUGGGGGAAAUUAUUCAUUAGGGUAUCUGUGAAGUUUGUAACGUGGUGCACUUUAAAAUCCACUCUAAUUUGCUUCCUUGCAAAUGUUUGUCACCGGUGUUUGACAGCAGGAAUAAUCUGGGCGGAGUUUUCAUUUUUAGUCAUUUGGGGCCACCUCCAUCUUACAAUAAACAAAGUCACAAUUAACGGAAGUGGUGACCUUGUUAGCAGUUUCUGCAAAGAGGACAAGAUUCCUUGGGAACAGCGAAUAAAGCAGAUUGUUACCACGUAAGUGACCUCUGCAAGCCACACUGGAGUAAUGCGUGUUGCUGGGCAAAAGGAAAGCUUGCUUCUUAGUGCUUUAAUAGCACAUAAGUAGCAUUUCCAAGCAGUUUUCGUUGAGAACAGGUUUGGAUUUGGCUUAGCUUCUCUAAUAUUGAUAUUUUCCACCGCACACACCUCCAGCUUCCUGAAGGAGAAGUUCAUGAAAGAGAAGUAUAACCAGUUGGUGUGGUUAUACUCUCAGUUCCUGAGGUGGGAAGCCUGGGCUAGAUACACAGUGGGGGCUGCAGAGCUGCAGUGCUGAACCAGGCAGUGCUGGGGUAACAGAUACUCAGACUCCUGGAGAGCAGGACAUCUUGGAAGGGGAUGAAGAGGCUUUCCUAGGGUCACCCCAUGAGGCUAUGCCAUGGUGGCAGGGGAGCCUUGUCCCUCUUCCACUGUGAGCAAGGGCAAAUUCACUAAAUCAGACUGUCAAAUAGGAGUGCUGCUUGCAAACAGGGAAGUCUCAAUAAAGCUAAAUUGCUGUUGCUAUCAAAGAAAGGGAAGAGAAAAAAAGUCUAUGUUUCCAUUCAAGGCUUAUGAAAAAUGUGAGAAACUUUAUUUUUCUUCCUUAUUAGAAGUCUCAAUGCAAUGAAUGAAAAAAAAUUUUUUGCUUAGCACUAGUGUCUUGUGGUUUUGGUUAGGAACAGCUGCUGCAGUACUGCUGGAUAAGGGGCUUUAAACGUGACAUACUUUCACUUAACCAAAAUCACUGCAGUGGUGUACUGAAGUGAUGCAGCUGGUUCAGGAGACCCCUUUGUAACUGCACUGGGAAUGCUAUAGAUAACCCAAGGAGAAAACCCACCGGCCUGGCUGCAGAGCUGUGGCAGCUUUGUGGAAGCUUUGUGUCCACCUGGAUGGGGUUGCUUUCUCAUAAGCUGCAGUCUCUUCUGCAACUGAAGUACCCUACCAUUGCUCUCAAGUUACUCUGUAGUCUUGCAACAAGUGCUACUUUCAGUA